UCUAAACAAAAAUUAUCUUAGCGUUCAGUUUUGGUUGAACAGUAAAAUCAGUAUUUCCCAUCAACAGUAAGAAAUUUGAUCACACUUUUAACUCUCAUAAUCUUGGUGAAUUUUGUAAUUGGACUUUUCUGAGUGUAUUCAGUAGUGGGAACCAACAUCAUUUCAAGGACACAAGCCAUAGGUCUAACCUCUCCCAAAGCUGUGAUUAGGUUGUUGGCAGUCACAGCCUUCAGCUGAGACCUCUGAAUCCUUCCUGGUUUGUAUGAGUCUGUUUUGGUCUGGUUCUUUGUAGGCAUACAUUUCUUGGGUUUGCUUUCUAAUAGUGAACCAGUGUUCUGUCAUUUCAGGUCUUAGAGAAAAGAAGAGCCAAACAUUUAUCAGUAAAAAUAGGCAUAACUCUCCUGCCUGCAGCCUGGUUUUCAGUGGGAAGCGAUGUCUCCUGCAAAGGAACAGUAUGUGUCUGGUUAUCUUCUGAGUAAGCUUGGAGAACGUGAGGCUGAAAGACUGUUGUUGGGGUCUGUGUCUACUGGCUGAAAAUACCCUGAGUAAAUACCUGAUGAACCGAACACUUGAAACCUGGAACAGAAGUUGCAACUGCUCACAGUUAUAUAGUGUCUGCCUGGCAUUUAACUGCAGGGAGGGUACCACAAGCUUUAAUCCUGCUGAUGCAAGUGAAAAAUCAAGCAAGCCUACAAGAGGACACAAAAAGCACCUGGAAAAAAUACCAUAG
rnacentral:lncRNA from 1 species